GGGGAUAUAGGGGAGGACUGGGAACUCUGCAGGUUCAGCUUCUUGUUGGUACUCAGAGCUGAUCUGCACACCUCACCCAGCGCAGGACUCAGCCCAGUUUAGAAUCAAAGAAUCUGACCAAGAAAGAGCAGUCUGGGCUUGAUGCUAAGCUUCACUGCCGCUGUGCUCCUCGGGACAAGGGCAAUGGCUGCAAGGGUCUUGUCUGUCCUUCUGUGGCCUUACCUGUCCUUUGAUAACACUACAACUAAAGCAUCUCCAAAAUAAAAGGCUAAACUAUUCUCCACUUAGAGUGGCGACCAGAAGCCAGGCUGAACUCUGCACUUGACGUCAUCGGCCCCAGGACACCGAUGAACUGGCGCUGUUCACUGGGACCUAAGCGGCUGUGGGCUGUUGUCCGGACACCAUGCUGGCCCCACCAACUCCGACAGAGCCCCAGCCAGACCCACUCGGGAUGCCCGCGUGGGGAUCCUGGGCGCAGGCGACAGGACCAGCGACGUGCAGCAGCAUACCGGAACAUCUCGUGACUGUCCCCUGACCUGCACUGAAAUCUGGACAUAGGAAACAUUUGGUACCAAGUAUCCAGUCUGGCUUGAAUCUGAGGUUUAUUCGAUGAGAAGAGAUCACUGUCCGUGAUUGACAUGCUGCCAAUUAAAGUAACCCAGAGACCCCCAUGUUUAAUGCCUGGCCUGAUUAAACUUGGCUUUGACAUCCAACCAGGAAGACGACCCUGGGCAGAGCUCUUCUCCAUCUGCCCACUGAAGAGUAGA
ensembl:antisense Gm44119 predicted gene, 44119